GACGAACGCUGGCGGCGUGCCUAAUACAUGCAAGUAGAACGCUGAAGAGAGGAGCUUGCUCUUCUUGGAUGAGUUGCGAACGGGUGAGUAACGCGUAGGUAACCUGCCUUGUAGCGGGGGAUAACUAAUGGAAACGAUAGCUAAUACCGCAUAACAAUGGAUGACACAUGUCAUUUAUUUGAAAGGGGCAAUUGCUCCACUACAAGAUGGACCUGCGUUGUAUUAGCUAGUAGGUGAGGUAAUGGCUCACCUAGGCGACGAUACAUAGCCGACCUGAGAGGGUGAUCGGCCACACUGGGACUGAGACACGGCCCAGACUCCUACGGGAGGCAGCAGUAGGGAAUCUUCGGCAAUGGGGGCAACCCUGACCGAGCAACGCCGCGUGAGUGAAGAAGGUUUUCGGAUCGUAAAGCUCUGUUGUAAGUCAAGAACGGGUGUGAGAGUGGAAAGUUCACACUGUGACGGUAGCUUACCAGAAAGGGACGGCUAACUACGUG
rnacentral:rRNA from 1 species